rnacentral:tRNA from 2 species
GGGCCCAUAGCUCAGGGGUUAGAGCGCGCGACUCAUAAUCGCUUGGUCGUUGGUUCAAAUCCGACUGGGCCCACCA